UACAGAGGGGGCAAGCGUUAUUCGGAAUUAUUGGGCGUAAAGGGCUCGUAGGCGGCCAACUAAGUCGGACGUGAAAUCCCUCGGCUCAACCGGGGAACUGCGUCCGAUACUGGAUGGCUUGGGUUCGGGAGAGGGAUGCGGAAUUCCCGGUGUAGCGGUGAAAUGCGCGGAUAUCGGGAGGAACACCCGUAGCGAAGGCGGCACUCUGGGCCGGAACUGACGCUGAGGAGCGAAAGCGUGGGGAGCAAACAGG
rnacentral:rRNA from 1 species